rnacentral:rRNA from 1 species
AAUAGAUACCCGGGUAGUCCACGCCGUAAACGAUGGAUACUAGCUGUUCGGUCGCAAGAUUGAGUGGCUAAGCGAAAGUGAUAAGUAUCCCACCUGGGAGUACGAACGCAAGUUUGAAACUCAAAGGAAUUGACGGGGGCCCGCACAAGCGGUGGAGCAUGUGGUUUAAUUCGAUGAUACGCGAGGAACCUUACCAAGGCUUAAAUGUAUAUUGACAGGACUGGAAACAGUUUUUUCUUCGGACAAUUUACAAGGUGCUGCAUGGUUGUCGUCAGCUCGUGCCGUGAGGUGUCAGGUUAAGUCCUAUAACGAGCGCAACCCCUGUUGUUAGUUGCCAGCGAGUCAAGUCGGGAACUCUAACAAGACUGCCAGUGUAAACUGUGAGGAAGGUGGGGAUGACGUCAAAUCAUCACGGCCCUUACGCCUUGGGCUACACACGUGCUACAAUGGCCGGUACAGAGAGCAGCCACUGCGCGAGCAGGAGCGAAUCUAUAAAACGCGUCCCGGUUCGGAUUGGAGGCUGCAAUUCGCCUCC